AUUCCAUUUUAGAGCUCCACCCUCAUGAUUGAAUGACCCCUACAGGCCCCACCUUCUAGUACCAUCACCUUGGGGUUAGGAUUUCAACAUAUGAAUUUCAGGGGGACACA